UGUGGAGAUUUUCAUCAGCUUUAGACAUUAUUUACUUACUGAAAUAGAUAUAAUGUCAGACGAUUUGUGCUUGUCUUAUUUUGGCUAUAUGUUUAAGUUCCUGUCCCACUUCAGAAUGACCUUGAGGACACUGAUCUGAGUGUGGGUGUUUAUGGGGUGAAAGGAGCAGCUGAGUAGAGUUGUGAAACUCUAUCGGUCAAAGGGAACACGCUGCAAAAGAGGAUGGCAGUAAAUUGAGGUUACUCCAUUCUUCCAAACAAAGAGCUGUUUCUGCUGCCCUAUGCUCAUGGAGCUGUGAGUCAUGACUCAUGAGGGAAGUCUGAGCAGACCUCUGAAGUGAACGCAGUGUGACAGAUUGGAGAGGCUGUGACCUUUGAUCAGCCCAAAUCAAACGAAAGGCUCAUCCUCCAGAAGUUGCUAGAAGACACAAAGCAAUGUAACUUCAUGCUCAUGCAAACAGAAGAAACGGUCAGUGUAAAAGUCAUGUGUGUCAGCACACUAGCUUAGACAACCGGGCUGUUUUGUUAGCAAAAUUGACAUUUGUAUAAUUUGUCAAUAAAUCCUGCAGCGAGAAAGCAUGUCAAUAGAAGAAAUGUCAUUUCUACAUGACACGUCAACAUAAGAAAUAUCUGAUUAACAUCAAGAAAACUCAAAAUAAAUAGAAUUAAAAUGCAAAGAUCAGCACUUGGUAUAACAUGCUAUCAAAAUCUCUAUCCAUCAUGCUGACAAGCAUGUCUUUAAAGUAGGGCGUGACAAAUAGCACAGUUAUAAAAUAUAACUUUAUAAGUACACUAUUGUUUGUCGUCAAACACAAUGAGAGACUAUGUGUGACCUGGGAUGUGAGAUAGGCUAUACCAGAGCUGUGUCUCAAGAUCCCUACUGCUUACUGCAAUAACACACAAGAGAGUCAGACUCACACCUCCUUACAAAGGUGAAAUAUAAUGACAUCAAGUCAGAUCAAGUGCAACUGAUAUAUAUUCAAAGUAUACUGAGCUUCCUUGCUGCUUACAUAGGUACCCUUGAAUCCUAUAGCAUCCUAACUGAAAUGAAAACUCCUAAGUAACUGAUUUGCAAGUCUAUCUGUCAUAUUAAGAGAGCUCUCAGGCAAAAUGUACAGGAGAUUUGACUUUGAGUUUGCUGUUAGCAUAUUGCUAAGCUAAUGACAUGAUCUGGCCAAAGGCAGGUGGUAUGAGAUAAAAUAUCAAUAUAAGAUACUUAUUAUUAGAGUUGGGGUACUUGGACCUGGACUGAAACUAAGGCCUUGGACUCCAACUUGACACAGACAUUUUGGACAAGUAGGCCUACAUACAAAUCCACAUCAUGUGCAACAAGAAGGAUAAUAAAUAACAACAUAAAAUUAAGAUACAAAAGACACUAAUAAAUGUAUCGGACACAAACUCACUACUGCUCUACUGCACUUGUUACAUAAUAAGAAGAAUGGCAUCUACGCUAAUACUAGUCUGUUUCUUUCUUAUUCCGAGAUCACCGUAGCCACCCGAUCCGUAUCCAGAUCAGAUGGUCACUGCAGUCACCAGGAUCCAGUCCGUAUCUAGAUCAGAUGGUGGAUCAGCACCUCUACAGCCCUGAAUGUCAGCGGAGAUCAGGACACCUAGAUGAGCACAAGAGACAGAUCCCCAGUGAAGAUCUCGUCAUCUAGACGGCCAUCAGGACAAGACCACGGGAACUAGAUGAGUCCUCUACACAAUCUGACUUUGCUGCAGUUGGAAUUGAACUGCUGUUUCGUCUGGUCAGAGGAGAACUGGCCCCCCAACUGAGCCUGGUUCUCCCAAGGUUUUUUUCUCCAUUCUGUCACCGAUGGAGUUUUGGUUCCUUGCCGCUGUCGCCUCUGGCUUGCUUAGUUGGGGACACUUAAUUUCCAGCGAUAUCUUCGACUUGAUUGCACAGAUACUAUUUAAACUGAACUGAGCUGGAUGAUGACAUCACUGAAUUCAAUGAUGAACUGCCUCUAACUGAAAAUUGAGUGUUUAAUCUUGUCAUUUUACAUUAUUGACACACUAUUUUCCCAUUUGAUACUGUAAAGUUGCUUUGACACAAUCUGUAUUGUUAAAAGCGCUAUACAAAUAAAGGUGACUCGAUGGACUCAAAACCAAUAUGCUGCCUACCUUUGUAGGACCAAAAUGCAUUCUG